rnacentral:snoRNA from 1 species
UUGGAAAAAAGGAGGUUUUGAAAAAAUUUCCAUCCCUGGGGGUCUGAUGUUCAGUGGCUGCAAUAGCAGUCUCCUUGGUAGAUGCAGCCUGGUGCCUUUAUGGGUUGCCCUAAGGGACCUUGGAGACAGGC